GUGCCAGCCGCCGCGGUAAGACGUAGGGUGCAAGCGUUGUCCGGAUUUACUGGGCGUAAAGCGCGCGUAGGCGGCUCGUUAAGUGAGAAGUGAAAGCUCUGGGCUCAACCCAGAAACCGCUUUUCAUACUGGCGAGCUGGAGUGAUGCAGAGGUGGAUAGAAUUCCCGGUGUAGCGGUGAAAUGCGUUGAUAUCGGGAGGAAUACCCGUGGCGAAGGCGGUCCACUGGGCAUCAACUGACGCUGAGGCGCGAAAGCGUGGGUAGCAAACAGGAUUAGAUACCCCCGUAGUCC
rnacentral:rRNA from 1 species